AGCCCUGAGGUGUAAAUCAUGUUGAAUUGCAAAUUCUAAGAAGCAGCUUCAAUUCUGCCGGGGCUU
rnacentral:tRNA from 1 species